rnacentral:lncRNA from 1 species
UUACCUCUUUGCACUUGGGUCCAGUCCUUAAUAGUCCCGUGACACAAGGUGUACUUUUCCAGUCGUUACGAUAGCAAAGCCACACUGACAUGCCCUCAAUUAAGCUGAAUAACGGCUUGUCUACAGAUCACUAAAAAUAACAUUAUGAAAUGACUUAAAAAUUAGUGGUAAAGGUGAUGUGCCAAAAGUCAUGGGAUGCGAUGCUAGAUCCUGAUCCAGUACAUGUGGAAUAUGAGUGUAAUUGUUCGUAUCUCUCUGUGUUUCAGUGCUGAUCUGUAAUUUGGUGGCGAAUCUCGGGAUGAUCAGUAUCCUCAGCGUUUACCUGCCGCAGAGAUCCCUCCCAUACCUGCUCCUCCCCCUGUCAAUCAUCAUCUGGGCCACCACCUCCUUCACCAGCAGGAUGCUGAUGCUGUUUCUUGACCGAACGAAAGACUUUGGAAUGGAGAAGAGUCAGCUCUCCAUCUCUCCAUCCUUCCGCCAUAAUCCCUCCAUCCCUCCAUCCCUCCACGCCCUGCUCUUCACCCUGGAGAUGAGGAGACGACAGAGAGAGAGCCGGCAGAACGUUCCCUAAACCUCCGAUACUGACCGUAUGAGUCCUGGAAAACCACUCAACACUGUAUAUAUAUAUAUAUAUAUAUAUAAAAUACUAUAUAACACUAUUAUCAUUAUUAUAACCAGAAUAUUCACUCAUCUCUCUUCAAUCUCAUAUAAACAUAAAUAAUGUUUCCCUAAACCUCUACAGCCGCCGAUACUGACCAUACGAGUCCAAAGAUCCACUUAACACUGUAUAUAUAUAUAUAUAAAAUACUAUAUAACACUAUUUAUAACACUAUAUAACCAGAAUAUUCACUCAUCUCUCUUCAAUCUCAUAUAAACUUAAACAAGUUACAUAAAUUAAGCCGCCGAUACUGACCGUACGAGUCCAAAGGUCCACUUAACACUGUAUAUAUAUAAAAUACUAUAUAACACUAUAUAACCAGAAUAUUCACUCAUCUCUCUUCAAUCUCAUAUAAACAUAAAUAACGUUCCCUAAACCUCUACAGCCCCCGAUACUGAGCGUACCAGUCCAGAAAAACACCCAACACUGUAUAUAUAUAAAAUACUAUAUAACACUAUAUAACCAAAAGUAUUCACUCAUCUCUCUUCACUCUCAUAUGAACUUAAAUAACGUCUCGUUCUUAAUCUGUUAACUUUAAUAUGAUGUUUGUUGAGCCUUUACAGCUUUAACAGCUUCAGCUCUUCAGUUUCUCUUUCACGAGGUUUAGGAGUGUGUUUAUGUGUUUAUGGUGUUUACAGGAGUUUUUCACCCCUGAUUCUUCACUCUAAUUCAUCACUAAGAUGUUUUAUCAGGUUGAGAUCAGGACUCUGUGCAGGCCAGUAGGGGUGUGCCAUAUUGUAUCGUACGCAAUAAUAUCUCCAACAUUUUUGAAUAUGGUGAUUAUUAAUAUUAUAUCUUGAAAUAUGGUAUCAUAUGAACCACCCCUAAUUAUCACAUCAGGGAUCUACUUUUUACUGUUUUUAUCAAAAGAAAAAUUCACACUGUUCUCAUUUCCCAUUAUAUAUCUACUAGA